CCUACGGGAGGCAGCAGUGGGGAAUAUUGCACAAUGGGCGAAAGCCUGAUGCAGCGACGCCGCGUGAGGGAUGACGGCCUUCGGGUUGUAAACCUCUUUCAGCAGGGAAGAAGCGAAAGUGACGGUACCUGCAGAAGAAGCGCCGGCUAACUACGUGCCAGCAGCCGCGGUAAUACGUAGGGCGCAAGCGUUGUCCGGAAUUAUUGGGCGUAAAGAGCUCGUAGGCGGCUUGUUGCGUCGGUUGUGAAAGCCCGGGGCUUAACCCCGGGUCUGCAGUCGAUACGGGCAGGCUAGAGUGUGGUAGGGGAGAUCGGAAUUCCUGGUGUAGCGGUGAAAUGCGCAGAUAUCAGGAGGAACACCGGUGGCGAAGGCGGAUCUCUGGGCCAUUACUGACGCUGAGGAGCGAAAGCGUGGGGAGCGAACAGGAUUAGAUACCCUGGUAGUCCACGCGUAACGUUAGGUACGUAGUGUGGUCGACAUCACGUCGUCGGUGCGCAGCUACGCAUAACGUUACCCGUCCGUCGGGAGGUACGGCCGCGACGACGUAAACUUAAACUAGAAUUAGACGGCGUGAGACGUGCCGACGGACGACGACGAGGGAGUAGG
rnacentral:rRNA from 1 species